GAAAAGAACUUUGAAAAGAGAGUCAAACAGUACGUGAAAUUGUUGAAAGGGAAACGAUUGAAGCCAGUCGUACCGACGGGAAUUCAACUUUUUGAGCGCUUGUCGUGGGUGAUGUAGAGCCUCACGGCCUUCGUUGCUUUGCGUUAUGGUGCUUUUAGGGUGUACUUUUCCGUAUGGUAGGUCAAUAUCGAUUUUGGUCGUCAUAAAAUGAUCGGAGGAAUGUGGCUUCGAUCUCGUAUCGGAGUGUUAUAGCCUUUGGUAGAUGUGACGAUUGGGAUCGAGGAUUGCAACGAAUACCCUUUGGGCUAUCCGUCUGACCUCUGAAAGUCGCUCGGGUGUUGAAAGCGUGCUUAUGACAUUCUAGUUGGCGGUCAAAAGGUUAGAACGCGAUUACAUUCGU
rnacentral:rRNA from 1 species